AAGAAUCAGCUUCCUCUAGCUCGCAGGGGACCAGGUCCAAGGAGAAACUGACUAGGUUUCAACAUUUCUGAACUUGUUCUGAACGUCUGAGCUUCAGGACACUAUGGAAUGUUUGUAGGAUUCACUCUUUACCCCACCUCAGACCAAGUGGGACCGAAGAGGCUGGGGUGUAGCCUUUUGACAAGCACGGGUGUGUGCUGAUGCCUGUAACCAUGGGAAAGUCUCCUGUAGCCUGAAGUCUUUCCAGUCGUGGACCUGUGUAAAAAUUCAAGAUCUGGAAAUGAGACAUUUUUAACUAAGGAAAUGCUCUUCAAAACUUAGAUUUUUACCAGCGACCUCCAGCAAAAUGCCCUAUUAUCAGCUUCCUACAGAUCUCUUGAGAGCCACCCUGAGGCAUUAUUACGGAAGCAAUCCUCCCCAGGGCCACUUCCCUGGCUGUGCCGCCCUCCAUGAAGGAUUUUUUUUAUUUGAGAAAUGAGUACCUCAUCACGUACAAACGUCACAUCACUUCCAGCCCCAUUGUCGCCUGGGAAUAGUCUCUCUACUGCUUCAUCAGAACAGUGUGUCAUAGACAUUCUCCGGAGAACACGGUUUUGGAUUGCCACCAACAGUGUGGAAGUGUCCAGACAGCUCAUCAGUGUCUUCCCUUGCCAUCUCAGAUCCGAUACAGAGGCUCCCACAGCUAGGGAAAAGCACACAAAUCCAUUUAUGUACACUCUCUGUGAUAGGAAGACUUCAUAAGGGAAUGAAGACCCAAGGAAAAGAGUUGAUCUGUGUGUUUUCAAUGCUAGGGCUUUUAUCGUCUUGUCUGUUAUUAUUUGUUAUCUCACUGUGUAGCCCUGGCUAGCCCAGAGCUCUCUGUUGUAGACCAGGCUGGCCUCAAACUCAUGGAGACCCUCCUGCUUCUGCCUCCCAAGUGUUAGGACUAAAGGCAUGC